rnacentral:ncRNA from 2 species
UACGGAGGAUGCGAGCGUUAUCCGGAUUUAUUGGGUUUAAAGGGUGCGUAGGCGGGACGUUAAGUCAGCGGUAAAAAUGCGGAGCUCAACUCCGUCGAGCCGUUGAAACUGCCGUUCUUGAGUGAGCGAGAAGUAUGCGGAAUGCGUGGUGUAGCGGUGAAAUGCAUAGAUAUCACGCAGAACUCCGAUUGCGAAGGCAGCAUACCGGCGCUCAACUGACGCUGAAGCACGAAGGCGUGGGUAUCGAACAGG